AGGCAGCCCCUUGGCCUGAUCGAGAUGGCAAAGGAGGUGUUGUUUUGCUCGGAGAUCAAAGCUUUUGCUCUUCAGAUACGCUGAGAAGUAUGGGGGGGUUUCUCCUUCUUCUUCUCUGAUGCGGGUCUAGUAAGCUUUAGUACAAG